GGUAUGGGAUGAGCUUGCGUCCGAUUAGCUAGUUGGCGGGGCAACGGCCCACCAAGGCGACGAUCGGUAGCCGGCCUGAGAGGGCGAUCGGCCACAUUGGGACUGAGAUACGGCCCAGACUCCUACAGGAGGCAGCAGUAGGGAAUAUUGCACAAUGGGGGAAACCCUGAUGCAGCAACGCCACGUGUGGGAAGAAGCAUUUCGGUGUGUAAACCACUGUCGUGAGGGAAUAAGGCAUUGUUUCGGCGAUGUUGAAUGUACCUCGAAAGGAAGCACCGGCAAACUUCGUGCCAGCAGCCGCGGUAAUACGAGGGGUGCAAGCGUUGUUCGGAAUCACUGGGCGUAAAGGGAGCGUAGGCGGAGAUGCAAGCAGUCUGUACAAUACCGGGGCCCAACCCCGGACCUGCAGACUGGACUGUGUCUCUUGGAUAGUUCAGGGGCAGGC
rnacentral:rRNA from 1 species